GGCUGAUGUUGGUUAAAAUAACCUCAAUGAAAGGAGAAAAUCUUAUUAAUGUGUGAUAUUUUUUGAUCUUGAUUUUGAAAAGCACAUUCUGUGUGCAGGGCGAUACGUGUGUGUGAUAUUCGAGCAGGCCCUAAAGGGUUAAAUCCUGCUGAGUCCGUCAGUCAGAAGUUUUCGGGUGUCGUCUGCGUCUCUGACCGGCUGAAUUGUGUGUGAGCAGAUCCCUGAUGUGCGCUGGGAGGACGUCGGCGGUCUGCAGCAGGUGAAGAAAGAGAUCCUGGACACGGUUCAGCUUCCUCUGCAGAGACCCGAGCUCCUGGCUCUGGGUCUGAACCGCACCGGAGUCCUGCUGUACGGACCGCCAGGGACCGGCAAGACCCUGCUGGCCAAGGCCGUCGCUACAGAGUGCUCCAUGACCUUCCUCAGUAUAAAAGGUCCGGAGCUCAUCAACAUGUACGUGGGUCAGAGCGAAGAGAACAUCAGAGAAGUGUUCUGCAGAGCGCGAUCAGCAGCUCCGUGUGUCGUCUUCUUUGAUGAGCUGGACUCUCUGGCGCCCAGCAGGGGGCGCAGUGGAGACUCUGGAGGUGUGAUGGACAGGUGA